AGAGUUAAACAGUACGUGAAAUUGCUAAAAGGGAAACGUUUGAAAUCAGUGUGGUGCCGUGUAAAUCAGUCAUCUGGGUAACUGGGUGGUGCACUUUACGCGGUACUGGUCACCAUCAGUUUGAGAGGGUGUAGAAUACUCGAGGAAGGUAGCUGCUUGCAGUGUUAUAGCCUCGAGGACCCCACCCUCUUGGACUGAGGACCGCAGCAUAGCCGCAAGGCAGGGCUCCCGAGUGGCUAUUGGAAAGGUGGAAGAAGACAGCGUGCUGACUUUAGCUUCUGGACUGAUACUCAUUUGGCGAGCCACUACUAUGCUUAGGAUGGUGACGAAAUGGUUUUAAACGACC
rnacentral:ncRNA from 2 species